rnacentral:pre_miRNA from 1 species
GUUGAGGGGAAUGCUGUCUGGUUCGAGACCAUUCAGUUGAAGCAUUUGCAUCCAAAAGAGCAGCUUUCUUGAAUGAUCUCGGACCAGGCUUCAUUCCCCCCAAC